rnacentral:rRNA from 1 species
UAGAGUUUGAUCAUGGCUCAGGACGACCCUUUACGGCGUGCCUAACACAUGCAAGUCGAACGGAGAUAUGACUUCGGUUGUAUCUUAGUGGCGAACGGGUGAGUAACGCGUGAGCAACCUGACCUUCAGAGGGGGAUAACACCCGGAAACGAGUGCUAAUACCGCAUAAGACCACACCGUGACAUCGCGGAGAGGUCAAAGGAGCAAUCCGCUGAGGGAGGGGCUCGCGUCCCAUUAGAUAGAUGGCGGGGUAACGGCCCACCAUGUCGACGAUGGGUAGCCGAGCUGAGAGGCUGAUCGGCCACACUGGAACUGAGACACGGUCCAGACUCCUACGGGAGGCAGCAGUGGGGAAUAUUGGGCAAUGGGCGAAAGCCUGACCCAGCAACGCCGCGUGAGGGAAGAAGGCCUUCGGGUUGUAAACCUCUGUCUUUGGUGACGAAAAAAAUGACGGUAGCCAAAGAGGAAGCCCCGGCUAACUACGUGCCAGCAGCCGCGGUAAUA